rfam:Aedes aegypti strain Liverpool supercont1.580 genomic scaffold, whole genome shotgun sequence.
GGCUCGGUAGCUUAGUUAGUAUAGCACUCGUUUAGCAUACAAGAAUCGUGGGUUCGAUUCCCACCUGAGCAC